AUUCGUCAUGGAGGGUGAAGGGGCCUUCACCGCCGUGGACGGCGAGAAGGCCUUCAUGCGGCCCUUCGACCUGGUUCUGACUCCGGGUGGCCAGUG
rnacentral:tRNA from 1 species